GGUUCUAUUAACGAUGACGCAAGAAGG
rnacentral:piRNA from 1 species